rnacentral:rRNA from 1 species
UACGUAGGGGCCGAGCGUUGUCCGGAGUUACUGGGCGUAAAGCGCGCGCAGGCGGCUCGUCAAGCCUGACGUGAAAGCCCCCGGCUCAACCGGGGGAGGGUCGUCGGGGACUGGCGGGCUUGAGGUCGGCAGGGGUUGGUGGAAUUCCCGGUGUAGUGGUGAAAUGCGUAGAGAUCGGGAGGAACACCCGUGGCGAAGGCGGCCAACUGGGCCGGUACUGACGCUGGAGGAGCGAAAGCGUGGGGAGCAAACAGG